CAGUCGAACGGAGUUAUCAUUUUUGAAGCGAUUAGCUUGCUAAGAGUGGAAACGUUGAUAACUUAGUGGCGGACGGGUGAGUAACGCGUGGGUAACCUGCCUUACACAGGGGGAUAACACUUAGAAAUAGGUGCUAAUACCGCAUAAGCGCACAGUCCCGCAUGGGACAGAGUGAAAAACAUUAGUGGUGUAAGAUGGACCCGCGUCUGAUUAGCUGGUUGGCGGGGUAACGGCCCACCAAGGCGACGAUCAGUAGCCGGCCUGAGAGGGUGGACGGCCACAUUGGGACUGAGACACGGCCCAAACUCCUACGGGAGGCAGCAGUGGGGGAUAUUGGACAAUGGGGGAAACCCUGAUCCAGCGACGCCGCGUGAGUGAAGAAGUAUUUCGGUAUGUAAAGCUCUAUCAGCAGGGAAGAAAGAAAUGACGGUACCUGAGUAAGAAGCCCCGGCUAACUACGUGCCAGCAGCCGCGGUAAUACGUAGGGGGCAAGCGUUAUCCGGAAUUACUGGGUGUAAAGGGAGCGUAGACGGUAAUGCAAGUCUGGAGUGAAAGGCGGGGGCCCAACCCCCGGACUGCUCUGGAAACUGUGUAACUGGAGUGCAGGAGAGGCAGGCGGAAUUCCUAGUGUAGCGGUGAAAUGCGUAGAUAUUAGGAGGAACACCAGUGGCGAAGGCGGCCUGCUGAACUGUAACUGACGUUGAGGCUCGAAAGCGUGGGGAGCAAACAGGAUUAGAUACCCUGGUAGUCCACGCCGUAAACGAUGAUUACUAGGUGUGGGUGGGUAUGGACCCAUCGGUGCCGCAGCAAACGCAGUAAGUAAUCCACCUGGGGAGUA
rnacentral:rRNA from 1 species